rnacentral:other from 1 species
CGGGCGCUGUCCGAUGCGUCAGGCAGCACACUCCCGGGGGCGAUAUCAUUCUGAAGGGAGCUGUCCCUGACCGGACCGUGGUCCGGUCACAUGGCACCCACAUCGUGCUCGCGGCCCAUAGGGAUUCGCAGAACCAACGGUCGGCAUGGCCCCGCA